rnacentral:lncRNA from 1 species
AUAUUCAUUGCUCAACAAGGAAGAGACUUGCAAGGCUAUUACCCUGGGCAGUUGGCAAGACUCCAUUUUGAUCAUAGUGCAAAGAGAGCUCUCAGAUUGGAACAAGAAAUUAGCCACAGAUUCACUGAAUCCUUGACCUCUUAGUUCACUGCCACAGCUCUACUAUUGUGAAGAGAGAAGCGGUUUUGAAAGAAAUGCUUUUAAAUUAAAA